UACGAACUGCACAAACGUUAUUCGGAAUUACUGGGCUUAAAGAGUCCGUAGGCGGCUCGGAGGGUGAGGUGUGAAAUCCCACAGCUCAACUGUGGAAUUGCGCUUCAAACCGCCGAGCUUGAGGAAGACAGGGGUGAGCGGAACAGAUGGUGGAGCGGUGAAAUGCGUUGAUAUCAUUUGGAACACCGGUGGCGAAGGCGGCAUCCUGGACCAAUACUGACGCUGAGGAGCGAAAGCCAGGGGAGCAAACGGG
rnacentral:rRNA from 1 species